ACCAAGCGAGGCACUUACUGCCAUAAGAUUGUCCAAUUAUCAUAACCCCCCUCGCUGUCUAAUGACAUUAUCUGAUAUGCCGGAGUGCUGGUCAGAAUCAGGUCAAGGAGGCAGGAGAAUAGCACAGGAGACGUCAAGCCGAGAGCCACGAGUGUCACUAAAGGUUCCUGAUGGAGUAAAUAACGAGGAGGAGACAGCGGGGCCGGUUUUAGUGAGGGAGGUGUUGGAGGAUGUCAUAUCAGACAGCCCAAAUGGGGGCCCGAUCUACAGGUAGUCUGUCACCUCAAUCCCUCUUCAGUGUCCAGUCCUGUCUCCCCAACGCCUGGUGGUGCACCCCUGACCUGCAAGCGCCUCGACUUCCUCCCUCCUCCUCCAUCCAGCACCAGUGGCCCGAUGAGGACGAUGGCUGGGGAUCCUUUCAGCACUGCCAUUCCACAUUUCAAUGGACCUUGUAUUGUUUUUUAUAUCUUAAAUAAAUGUGUAAUGUUUGCAUUUGGUUUAUUUACUUGCCAAAGAUACAUUCACCAGACACGUAUCUAACUUUAUUAGGUCUGUGUAUUAGGUCCAUGUAUUUAACUUUAUUAGGUCUGUGUAUUAAAUCCAUGUAUCUAACUUUAUUAGGUCUGUGUAUUAAGUCCAUGUAUUUAACUUUAUUAGGUCUGUGUAUUAAGUCCAUGUAUUUAACUUUAUUAGGUGUGUGUAUUUGGUCCACGUAUCUAACAUUAUUAGGUCUGUGUAUUAAGUCCACAUAUAUAACUUUAUUAGGUCUGUGUAUUAAGUCCACAUAUAUAACUUUAUUAGGUCUGUGUAUUAAGUCCACAUAUAUAACUUUAUUAGGUCUGUGUAUUAAGUCCACAUAUAUAACUUUAUUAGGUCUGUGUAUUAAGUCCACAUAUAUAACUUUAUUAGGUCUGUGUAUUAAGUCCACAUAUAUAACUUUAUUAGGUCUGUGUAUUAAGUCCACAUAUAUAACUUUAUUAGGUCUGUGUAUUAAGUCCACAUAUAUAACUUUAUUAGGUCUGUGUAUUUGGUCCAUGUAUCUAACUUUAUUAGGUCUGUGUAUUAGAUCCAUGUAUCUAACUUUAUUAGGUCUGUGUAUUAGAUCCAUGUAUUUAACUUUAUUAGGUCUGUGUAUUAGGUCCAUGUGUUUAACUUUAUUAGGUCUGUGUAUUAGGUCCAUGUAUUAAACUUUAUUAGGUCUGUGUAUUAGGUCCAUGUAUUUAACUUAAUUAGGUCUGUGUAUUAGGUCCAUGUAUUUAACUUUAUUAGGUCUGUGUAUUAGGUCCAUGUAUUUAACUUUAUUAGGUCUGUGUAUUUGGUCCAUGUAUCUAACUUUAUUAGGUCUGUGUUUUAGAUCCAUGUAUUUAACUUUAUUAGGUCUGUGUAUUAGGUCCAUGUAUCUAACUUUAUUAGGUCUGUGUAUUAGGUCCAUGUAUUUAACUUUAUUAGGUCUGUGUAUUAGGUCCAUGUAUCUAACUUUAUUAGGUCUGUGUAUUAGGUCCAUGUAUUUAACUUUAUUAGGUGUGUGUAUUUGGUCCACGUAUCUAACUUUAUUAGGUGUGUGUAUUUGGUCCACGUAUCUAACUUUAUUAGGUGUGCAGAUUAGGUCCACGUAGGCCACGUCACAAUAAUUUCAUUGUGCAGGAUGAUGCUUUGUUGUUCAGUGCAUUUGACAAAUAAACCUUGAAACUAG